rnacentral:tRNA from 1 species
GCCGAUGUGGCUCAGUGGUUAGAGCAUCGGCCUGCGGACUGAAGGGUCCCAGGUUCGAUUCCUGGUCAAGGGCA